rnacentral:rRNA from 1 species
GACGAACGCUGGCGGCGUGCCUAACACAUGCAAGUCGAGGGGCACUAGUGUAGCAAUACGUUAGUGUCACUGGCGCACGGGUGCGUAACGCGUAGGCAAUAUGCCUUCAGGAUCGGGAUAACCCCGAGAAAUCGGGACUAAUACCGAGCGAUGCAGCGGCACCGCAUGGUGACAGUUGUUAAAGUCCCGACGCAAGUCGGGAUGCCUGAAGAUUAGCCUGCGUCCUAUCAGGUAGUUGGUGAGGUAACGGCUCACCAAGCCUACGACGGGUAGCUGGCCUGAGAGGGUGGUCAGCCACACUGGAACUGAGACACGGUCCAGACUCCUACGGGAGGCAGCAGUGAGGAAUAUUGCUCAAUGCCCGAAAGGGUGAAGCAGCGACGCCGCGUGAGGGAUGAAGGCCCUAUGGGUUGUAAACCUCUGUAGGGAGGGAAGAAAAUGGUGCUAUGCGCCACUGACGGUACCUCCAAAGUAAGCCCCGGCCGACUACGUGCCAGCAGCCGCGGUAAUACGUAGGGGGCGAGCGUUGUCCGGAAUCACUGGGUGUAAAGGGUCUGCAAGCGGACCUGCAAGUCAGAGGUGAAAUCCUACAGCUCAACUGUAGAACUGCCUUUGAAACUGUUGGUCUUGAGUCCGGGAGAGGAUGGCGGAAUUCCUGGUGUAGCGGUGAAAUGCGUAGAUAUCAGGAAGAACACCGGUGGUGAAGACGGCCAUCUGGACCGGUACUGACGCUCAGAGACGAAAGCGUGGGUAGCAAACAGGAUUAGAUACCCUGGUAGUCCACGCCCUAAACUAUGGGUACUAGGUGUCGGGUUUUUGCUCGGUGCCGCAGCCAACGCAUUAAGUACCUCACCUGGGGAGUACGAUCGCAAGGUUGAAACUCAAAGGAAUUGACGGGGGCCCGCACAAGCAGUGGAGCAUGUGGUUUAAUUCGAUGCAACGCGAAGAACCUUACCUGGGCUUGAAAGGCCAGUAGUAGGAUCCUGAAAGGGAAACGACUCGUAAAGCCGAGAGCUGGUACAGGUGCUGCAUGGCUGUCGUCAGCUCGUGCCGUGAGGUGUUAGGUUAAGUCCUGCAACGAGCGCAACCCCUGCCAUUAGUUGCCAUCAGGUAAAGCUGGGCACUCUAAUGGGACUGCCUGCGCAAGCAGUGAGGAAGGUGGGGAUGACGUCAAGUCCUCAUGGCCCUUACGUCCAGGGCUACACACGUGCUACAAUGGUCAUUACAACGGGUUGCAAAACCGCGAGGUGAAGCCAAUCCCUGAAAAAUGACCUCAGUUCGGAUUGCAGUCUGAAACCCGACUGCAUGAAGCUGGAAUUGCUAGUAAUCGCGCAUCAGCACGGCGCGGUGAAUACGUUCCCGGGCCUUGUACACACCGCCCGUCACGCCAUGGAAGCCGAGAGCACCCGAAGUCGCCAUGCUAACCGCAAGGAAGCAGGUGCCUAAGGUGAAAUCGGUGACUGGGGCG